rnacentral:rRNA from 1 species
AGCUUGCUACCAGGCGUCGAGCGGCGGACGGGUGAGUAAUACUUAGGAAUCUACCUAGUAGUGGGGGAUAGCACGGGGAAACUCGUAUUAAUACCGCAUACGACCUACGGGAGAAAGGGGGCAGUUUACUGCUCUCGCUAUUAGAUGAGCCUAAGUCGGAUUAGCUAGAUGGUGGGGUAAAGGCCUACCAUGGCGACGAUCUGUAGCUGGUCUGAGAGGAUGAUCAGCCACACCGGGACUGAGACACGGCCCGGACUCCUACGGGAGGCAGCAGUGGGGAAUAUUGGACAAUGGGGGAAACCCUGAUCCAGCCAUGCCGCGUGUGUGAAGAAGGCCUUUUGGUUGUAAAGCACUUUAAGCAGUGAAGAAGACUCCGUGGUUAAUACCCACGGACGAUGACAUUAGCUGCAGAAUAAGCACCGGCUAACUCUGUGCCAGCAGCCGCGGUAAUACAGAGGGUGCAAGCGUUAAUCGGAAUUACUGGGCGUAAAGGGAGCGUAGGUGGCUCGAUAAGUCAGAUGUGAAAUCCCCGGGCUCAACCUGGGAACUGCAUCUGAUACUGUUGAGCUAGAGUAUGUGAGAGGAAGGUAGAAUUCCAGGUGUAGCGGUGAAAUGCGUAGAGAUCUGGAGGAAUACCGAUGGCGAAGGCAGCCUUCUGGCAUAAUACUGACACUGAGGCUCGAAAGCGUGGGUAGCAAACAGGAUUAGAUACCCUGGUAGUCCACGCCGUAAACGAUGUCUACUAGUCGUUGGGUCCCUUGAGGACUUAGUGACGCAGCUAACGCAAUAAGUAGACCGCC